rnacentral:rRNA from 1 species
UACAGAGGGUGCAAGCGUUGUUCGGAAUUACUGGGCGUAAAGCGCGUGUAGGCGGCUUGGCAAGUCCUGUGUGAAAGCCCUGGGCUCAACCCAGGAAGUGCGCAGGAUACUGCUGAGCUGGAGUAGCGGAGAGGAUGGCGGAAUACCCGGUGUAGAGGUGAAAUUCGUAGAUAUCGGGUGGAACACCUGUGGCGAAGGCGGCCAUCUGGACGUUCACUGACGCUGAGACGCGAAAGCGUGGGUAGCAAACAGG